AUUGAACGCUGGCGGCAGGCCUUACACAUGCAAGUCGAGCGGUAGCAGGGAGCUUGCUGCUGGAUUCAGCGGCGGACGGGUGUGUAAUGCCUAGAAAUCUCCCGGCUAGGGGGGGAUAUCGUCCGGAAACGGGCGCUUAUACCGCACACGCCCUGAGGGAGAACGGGGGGGCGCAAGGGAUCUCACGCUAUCAGAUGAGCCUAGGUCGGAUUAGCUAGUUGGUGGGGUAAAGGCCUACCAAGGCAACGAUCCGUAACUGGUCUGAGAGGAUGAUCAGCCACACUGGGACUGAGACACGGCCCAGACUCCUACGGGAGGCAGCAGUGGGGAAUAUUGGACAAUGGGCGAAAGCCUGAUCCAGCCAUGCCGCGUGUAGGAAGAAGGCCUUCGGGUUGUAAAGUACUUUAGUUUGGAAGGAAAGGCAGCAGGUUAAUACCCUGGUGUAUUGACGUUACCGAAAGAAUAAGCACCGGCUAACUACGUG
rnacentral:rRNA from 1 species